GCGCCUGUGGCUCAGUGAGUGGGGCGCCAGUCUCAUAUACUGAGUGUGGUGGGUUUAAACCCACCAUGGCCA
rnacentral:tRNA from 1 species